rnacentral:sRNA from 1 species
UACGUACGCAGUUAUACAUAGUCGGGGU